rnacentral:rRNA from 1 species
GAGCGUUCAGUUACUUGACGUAGACCCGAAACCGGGCGACCUACCCAUGAGCAGGAUGAAGCGAAAGUAAAAUUGCGUGGAGGUCCGAACCCACGAGCGUUGAAAAGCUCGGGGAUGACUUGUGGGUAGCGGUGAAAUUCCAAUCGAGCCCGGAGAUAGCUGGUUCUCCCCGAAAUAGCUUUAGGGCUAGCCUCAAGGUGAG